ACCAUCUGCCAAACAAUUUUGAUUGUUUCCACCAGAACCUGAGCAUUAUUGAGGGCCCGAGCUUAAAGUUGCUAUCAUUGGAGCUGGGCUGGCUGGCAUGUCUACUGCAGUGGAGCUUUUGGAUCAAGGCCAUGAGGUUAAUAUUUACAAUUCGCGGUCUUUCAUUGGUGUAAAAGUGGGCUCAUUUGUAGAUAAGCAUGGGAAUCACAUCGAGAUGGGACUUCAUGUCUUCUUCGGUAGCUACAGCAACCUUUUUCGCCUGAUGAAAAAGGUGUAAUCCCCAUCCUUUGUCAUAAAACUCAUAAUCUUUGGACCAAGAAAUGUGAACCAUCUCUAAUGAGUUGAGGCAUAUUGAUGGAUUAAUUGACAUUGGAGUAAUUAUUUCAAUGUGAUUAGUAGCAGUCCUUGUGUUUACUUGCUCUCAAUUUGAAUUGCCUAUCCUGAGAUAUUGUUGGGUCAAUUGACAUUGUAAUAAAUUCUUUAAAAGAACGGACGAGAAACCAUUUUCUCUUAGGAACAACCAUAUGGCUGUUUUUGUUAUUUCUGUAUUGAAGUUUCAGUUGGUAGUUAAACUGUCAUUUCCAUUUAAGCAGCUAAUAUAGCAAGACACUUUACAAGCCUCCUCUGGAACUUCUUCAGAUUCUUCCUGCAAAGUCGACAAUUAGAGUUAUGCUACCAAAUCCUCAUGCCAGAUGCACAUUUGAUAUUGUUUUUAAGUUUAUUCUGAGUACUUGCUCCUUUGAAACAAACUAUAGUUUAUAGUAGCUAUUCAUGUAUGGUUGUUGAAUGGAUGUCUCCUAGAUGAUAUUUCUUCUUCUGUUUCCAAAAUUACAGCACCAUAUCUAAGUUGAAGGAUAUACAAAUAGGGGAAAUUACUGAUCUUCUUUUACAAGAUAGAUGCUCCUCUCAGAAAGAAGAAACAAGAAAACUACAACAUCAACUAGCACUUACAAACCAGAAAUUACAGUUUCCUUUAUUAUGCUCUAUAGCUUUUUUCUAGAUUAUACAAAUCCUUCGUGACUUUAAAAUUAGCUAUGUUAAGUAUCAAAAGAAUUUUUUUUAUUUUUUACUUUUUUUGACAUGUAUUUUUGCACAAAUCCUUAGAUUGCCUCUUCACAUGAUUCAGCUAGACAUUGCUUUAUUUUGUUUGUUUUUUGUAUUAUAGGCUAAAUAAGUGGGUUUGGUUUUCACAACAAACAUGGCAAACUAUCUUAUCCUCAGAAUCACUCUAGAUUGAACUGAUUAUGUCUCCCUUACCAUUCGUAGCCCUGCUUGGUCUAAAACGAGCUCCCCUCAGGUCAGGAGUGUAUCGAGCAUAUCCAAAAAUCAGGUACAUAAAAGGCCAUCACAUUAUGGAGCUCUUCAUCUGCUUGACGGACUUUUAUUGAAUUGUCCUUUUAUUUUGAAGUCUUCCAUUGUAGAUUUUAUUUUUUACUAUCAGGUUUGUAAGUUGGAUAAAUAAAGUUUCAAAUUACAUCAUGGUUGUUUUUACUAUCUUUUGAUUCUUAA